UACGUAGGGGGCGAGCGUUGUCCGGAAUUACUGGGCGUAAAGAGCACGUAGGCGGCUAUAAAAGUCAGAUGUGAAAAACCUGGGCUCAACCGAGGGUAUGCAUCUGAAACUAAAUAGCUUGAGUCAAGGAGAGGAGAGCGGAAUUCCUGGUGUAGCGGUGAAAUGCGUAGAGAUCAGGAAGAAUACCAGUGGCGAAAGCGGCUCUCUGGACUUGAACUGACGCUGAGGUGCGAAAGCGUGGGGAGCAAACAGG
rnacentral:rRNA from 2 species